rnacentral:tRNA from 1 species
GGGGAUAUAGCUUCAGCUGGGAGAGCGCCUGCCUUGCACGCAGGAGGUCAGCGGUUCGAUCCCGCUUAAUCUCCACCA